rnacentral:rRNA from 1 species
AAGGACUUGCGGGAUAGGGUAAAAGCAACUUUCAAACAAGGAAGAAGCGACGGGCUAACUCCGUGCCAGCAGACGCGGUAAUACGGAAGGUGCGAGCGUUAAGUCGGGAAUUACUGGGCGUAAAGCGACGCAGGGCGGUUUGUUAAGUUUAGGCCUCCCAAACCCCUGGGGGGAAAAUAGGCAGUUAUCGAAAACUGGGCAAAACUAGAGUGUGGAGAGGGGUGGUAGAAUUUCCAGGGUGUAGCCGGUGAAAAUGUCGUAGAUAUCUGAAGGGAAUAUCGAUGAAAGUCGUGGGUAGCGAACAGGGAUUAGAUACCCCUGGUAGUUCCAACAGCCGUUAACGCAAGUUUAACUUGGCAGGUUUGUGCACCUUGCAUGGUGUGGUGUUUCCGGAAGUCUAACGCGAAUAAGUAGACCGUCCUGGGGAGUA